GACGAACCGUGCGAACGUUGUUCGGAUUCACUGGGCUUAAAGGGCGCGUAGGCGGACAAUCAAGUCAGGGGUGAAAGCCUCCAGCUCAACUGGAGAAGUGCCUUUGAUACUGACUGUCUCGAGGGAGGUAGGGGCAUAUGGAACUUCCGGUGGAGCGGUGAAAUGCGUAGAUAUCGGAAGGAACGCCGGUGGCGAAAGCGACGUGCUGGACCUCUUCUGACGCUGAGGCGCGAAAGCUAGGGGAGCAAACGGG
rnacentral:rRNA from 1 species